UCAGUUAUCGUUUAUUUGAUAGUACCUACUUACUUGGAUAACCGUGGUAAUUCUAGAGCUAAUACAUGCUAAAAACCCCGACUUCCGAAGGGGUGUAUUUAUUAGAUAAAAAACCAAUGCCCUUCGGGGCUCCCUGGUGAUUCAUAAUAACUAAACGAAUCGCAUGGCCUUGCGCCGGCGAUGGUUCAUUCAAAUUUCUGCCCUAUCAACUUUCGAUGGUAGGAUAGUGGCCUACCAUGGUGGCAACGGGUAACGCUUCCCCUGUUGCCCGUUGCGCGCAGCACCCGUCGGGGAUCCCUUUCGGGGGAAUCUUCCCCGGCGACAUCACUGGUUCAGAGGACGCCCCCCCUUACGGGGGGGCCAACCCUGAGGCGAGUGCCCCCGGGCACCGUCGAAACGCAUGCGAAGUGGUGGGCCCCCGGACUCCGGGGGCUUUCGAUACAUGCUACCGCCCGGCGCCCCCGCCGGAGCGGCGUGUGAACGGGGAAUUAGGGUUCUAUUCCGGAGAGGGAGCCUGAGAAACGGCUACCACAUCCAAGGAAGGCAGCAGGCGCGCAAAUUACCCAAUCCCGACGCGGGGAGGUAGUGACAAUAAAUACUGAUGUGGAGCUCUUUAGGGUUUCACAAUUGGAAUGAAAACGAUCUAAACCAACUAAUGAGGAACAAUUGGAGGGCAAGUCUGGUGCCAGCAGCCGCGGUAAUUCCAGCUCCAAUAGCGUAUAUUAAAGUUGUUGCAGUUAAAAAGCUCGUAGUUGAACCUUGGGCCUGGCCGCCCGGUCCGCCUCACCGCGUGCACUGGUUCGGCCGNGCCUUUCCUCCUGGGGAACCGCAUGCCCUUCACUGGGUGUGCCGGGGAAUCAGGACUUUUACUUUGAAAAAAUUAGAGUGUUCAAGCAGGCAUUUGCUCGAAUACAUUAGCAUGGAAUAAUAGAUAGGACGUCGU
rnacentral:rRNA from 1 species